rnacentral:lncRNA from 1 species
AUUCGCAGGACCAGAAAAAAAAAGGGUACCGGUAAACUGACAGGGGAAGAGAUCUGUGGUAGGCUAGGUGAGGACCAACAGAUACAGUUGAGGGUGCAGACAGAGCAGAUUAAGAUGGGACUAUCAUUAAAAAACAGGUGAGAAACUGGGGCCGGAGAUUUAGCUCGGUGGUGCCGCCACCUGCCUCACAAGCACAAGGUCCCGAGUUUGAUCCCCGGUACAGAGAAAAAAAGAAAAACAGGUGAGGCAGCAGUGAGAAGGGGGUGAAGGUGGCAGCAAGCAGCUGGUGAGGGCGGAGGGUAUCCAUGAGAACUAGGUGGGCUGGAGCUGGGGUUGGGGGGGGGGGGGUCACAGUGCCGCUUUUCCUCUCAAAGAACUUUAGACUUUGGGAACCAGGUGACGUAGGCCUAAAGCUUUAUUAGAGGGCGGGCGAGGGGCGUGGUCAGUUGGGGCAUCCAAAGACCACCAUGCUCUCCGUGAAGGCGCCCAGCUCCUGGCACUGCUUCUGGUUCUCCUCGUCUUGGCAUUCUUCCGCCUCGGGCCACAGCUCCACCCAGGUAUCCUUCCCGAUGAUGUAACUGAUGCUGUGGGCCGGACGACAGGUCGGAGGAGACGCCCCACAUGAGGUAGUGCUUCCCGUCCUUCAGGCGCAGGGCGUCUCUGCACUUGACGUGGCUGAUGAACCUGCGCUCCUGCCCAGCCUGCACCUCAUCGGAGCCUGGGUGGAGAGGGAGGGAUGCUGAGCUGCGGGGUGGAGCGGGGGGACAGAGGGGAGCGGGCAGGAAGAUGAGCGCCCCGCUGACCUGACUUGAUGACCUGUUCAAUCGUCAUUAUGUAUUCGUCGAAAUCGUCGGACAGCUCCAUCUUGACCAGCUUGGUUUUGUACACUGUGGGGUGGAGGGGGCCGUGUGGGUCCUGGGCGGGGUUGACGGUUGGGCCCCCAGCCCCAAGCAGAGACACGGGGAUCACAGCCAGUCGCGUGGAGUCCACCCAGUGAACACCACCACCACACAGGGUGACAGUCACAGCCCACGCGGUCAUGCACAGAGGCACAGAUGACAGCCGCCCGCAGGGACGGUCACGUGCAAAGGACAGAUGCUG